ACAGUGGACGCGAGCAUCUUUGUGGAAAAAUUAUUAAGCGCACAUGGUGGAUGCCUUGGCAUCAGAAGCCGAUGAAGGACGUAGUAGGCUGCGAUAAGCCUCGGGGAGUUGUCAAACGAACUUUGAUCCGAGGAUUUCCGAAUGGGGAAACCCAACUGGAGUAAUGUCCAGUUAUUUCUGCCUGAAUAUAUAGGGCAGAUAAAGGGAACGUGGGGAAGUGAAACAUCUCAGUACCCACAGGAAGAGAAAACAACCGUGAUUCCGUUAGUAGUGGCGAGCGAAAGCGGAAGAGGCCAAACCGAUACUGUGCCAAGCCGGCAGGCGUUGCAGUAUCGGUGUUGUGGGACCAGUUAGGUUGGACUGCCGUUCAACCAAAGAGUCAAAAACUAGCUAAGUAGAUGAAUGGCGUGGGAAAGCCAGUCAUAGAGGGUGAGAACCCCGUAGUCGAAACUUAGUUAACUCUUUAUUGGUAUCCCAAGUAAUACCGAACUCGAGGAAUUCGGUAUGAAUCUGGCGGGACCACCCGCUAAGCCUAAAUACUCUCUGAUGACCGAUAGCGGACUAGUACCGUGAGGGAAAGGUGAAAAGAACCCCGUAAGGGGAGUGAAAUAGAAUCUGAAACCGUGUGCGUACAAGCCGUUGGAGCGACGUAAGUUGUGACAGCGUGCCUUUUGAAGAAUGAGUCUACGAGUUAGUGUCGUGUUGCAAGGUUAACCCGUCGAGGGGAAGCCGUAGCGAAAGCGAGUCUGAAUAGGGCGUUUGAGUAGCACGAUCUAGACCCGAAGCGAGGUGAUCUACGCAUGGCCAGGUUGAAGCGCGGGUAAGACCGCGUGGAGGACCGAACCCACUAAUGUUGAAAAAUUAGGGGAUGAGCUGUGUGUAGGGGUGAAAGGCCAAUCAAACUUCGUGAUAGCUGGUUCUCUCCGAAAUGCAUUUAGGUGCAGCGUUGCGUGUUUCUUACCGGAGGUAGAGCUACUGGAUGGUCGAGGGGUCCUACAAGAUUACCAACAUCAGCCAAACUCCGAAUGCCGGUAAGUGAGAGCGCAGCAGUGAGACUGUGGGGGAUAAGCUUCAUGGUCGAGAGGGAAACAACCCAGAAUAGCAACUAAGGUCCCAAAGCCUGUGCUAAGUGGAAAAGGAUGUGAAGUCGCAUAGACAACCAGGAGGUUGGCUUAGAAGCAGCCACCC
rnacentral:rRNA from 1 species